GGAACAGAAUCAACUAGUAUCUGAAAUGCAACGGUCAAUAACGAACCACCAGCAAUAUUACUAUUCUCAGCAUUACUAGAGCCAUCGGGGAGUAUUGCAAAACCCGAAGGCAAAAGAGCAACAUAGUCGGGAUCACCACCACUUAACACCACAUUCAUGGCAGCAAUAUCAACCGGAGCAUAAAUAACAUAAGAUCCUGUGAUGUCUAGGCAACUCUCUUGGAGUAUCAACAUAUUAUUCUGGCUUGAAUUACCACUGUUAACGCGCAGUAGUGAGACACUGUUACCAGAAUCACGACCAUUUGCAAUAUGUGCCAUUUCUUGAACUAGACCACCAUUUGAAAGUAUAUCCCACUCAUUUCUAGAAUUUUCAUCCCUAAGAAAGUCAAAGACUCUCUUA
rnacentral:misc_RNA from 1 species